UACGUAGGGGGCGAGCGUUGUCCGGAUUUAUUGGGCGUAAAGAGCUCGUAGGCGGUUUGGUAAGUCGGGUGUGAAAUCUCCAGGCUCAACCUGGAGAUGUCACCCGAGACUGCCAUGACUAGAGUCCGGUAGGGGUGUGUGGAAUUCCUGGUGGAGCGGUGAAAUGCGCAGAUAUCAGGAGGAACACCCGUAGUGAAGGCGGCACACUGGGCCGGUACUGACGCUGAGGAGCGAAAGCGUGGGGAGCAAACAGG
rnacentral:rRNA from 1 species